rnacentral:rRNA from 1 species
UACGUAGGGUGCAAGCGUUAAUCGGAAUUACUGGGCGUAAAGCGUGCGCAGGCGGUUAUGUAAGACAGGUGUGAAAUCCCCGGGCUUAACCUGGGAACUGCAUUUGUGACUGCAUAGCUAGAGUACGGUAGAGGGGGAUGGAAUUCCGCGUGUAGCAGUGAAAUGCGUAGAUAUGCGGAGGAACACCGAUGGCGAAGGCAAUCCCCUGGACCUGUACUGACGCUCAUGUACGAAAGCGUGGGGAGCAAACAGG